GACGAACGCUGGCGGCGCGUUUUAAGCAUGCAAGUCGAACGGCAAGAGGGGUAGCAAUACUUCUCCUAGAGUGGCGAACGGGUGAGUAACACGUAGGUGAUCUACCCCUGGAUGGGGGAUAGUCCGUGGAAACACGGGGUAAUACCGCAUGAGGUCUUGGGGGUAAAGCCCUGAGGUGAAAGCUCCAACUGGAGCGUCUGGGGAUGAGCCUGCGGCCCAUUAGGCAGUUGGCGGGGUAACGGCCCACCAAACCGACGAUGGGUAGCCGGCCUGGGAGGGUGUACGGCCACACUGGAACUGCGACACGGUCCAGACUCCUACGGGAGGCAGCAGCUAAGAAUCUUCCGCAAUGGGGGAAACCCUGACGGAGCGACGCCGCGUGGACGAUGGAGGCCGUAAGGUUGUAAAGUCCUUUUGCGGGCGAAGAAUAAGGCGGGGAGUGGAAAGCCCCGCUGAUGACGUUAGCCCGCGGAUAAGCCCCGGCCAAUUACGUGCCAGCCGCCGCUGUAA
rnacentral:rRNA from 1 species